AUAACAAUAGUUAUUUUCAUUACUAGUAAUAGCCAAUCUAAUUAAUGAUAUCAACAUUUUGGAGAGGGAUAUUAAGCCUCUCUCUUCAGGUAUUAAGCAAAACUCUAGUCAUCUCAGAAAAGGAUGGGAGGUAAGGCACAUUGUUUCAUCCCUCUACAGUGUAGCAUGACCAUACAUCCUAUUUUCACUGGAACAGUCCCUUUUAAAUAUCUGUCCUGAGCAUUUUAUCAGUCUGGCCAAAUGAGCACAUUUGUCCCAUUUUCAGUGGAACAUCCAGGAUAAAUGUUGAAAGCCCUUCCCAUCCUAUUCCCUGUUCCUCCCCCACUCCUGUUGUCCAGUGCCUCACAUUCUCUCCUCUACUCUACAACAUGCUCAGUUGAAACUAGAACUGGGAGGCAGAUGUGUGUGCCAGAGAGCAGGGGGUGAAACUGUUCCAUUCUAAAACCAGGGAAAUAUGGUCCCUGUACUAUUGUGGAACUCUUAUACAUGUCUAAGAAGCAUAUUGUCCUGGACAUUACCAGAGACAGGAUACUAGAAUAAAUGUACCUUGGGCACUGGUCCAAUGAGACUAUUCUUAUGUUCCUAAGAUAUUUAUUGAAAGCCACAAGUUUUAAAGAAGCUUCAUUUGGAUUACAAAGUAAGAAAACAUGUCCCUUGUUCUGCAGGGCACAACUAUUGUAAGAGAAAACAGCACUGACUGAAGUGCAACUUUCUAGUCUCCUUCUCCUCAUCUAUGUCUUUGGCAACUUUCCCUUACACAGUGUUGGAAAUCUGUGCCUUUGUCAAGAUGGCUAAAAAGUUCCUGUAAACCAGUUCUUUCUCUUCCUCUCCUAUAUUACCAUGGCUUCCUUCUUUCAGGCCUCAAGUUCAUGAUCCUCUCCUUGCAGCCUGCCAGACUUGAGCCCUUCAUCUUCUCCUUCACACAUAUCAAUUUGAAUUUAACAGAUGCUUCUCUGUAUGCUUUCCCUUGCAGAUCACAAGCAGAUCAAACGUCUCUUCGUGAACAAUGUCCUCCACAGCUGCACCCUGAUCUACAAGUUGAUGUGGACCUACCAGGUGGAACCGGACACACCAUACAGGUACAGGAUGGCAUCCAGUAGACCCUGUUGCUUCAUCUCCACUAAUGUACCCUGUAAGGAUACCAUGGCCCGCAGAGCUCCACCUGAUGCCAACAAGGCACUGAGCCGAAGUCAGUUCUGGGCACGUGAAGAAAUGGAAGUCUGAAUGCUCAGGGAGAUUUUACAGUUCAACAUGACAGUGUCUCAUGAGUUUCAGUGCCUGCAGAGUCAGAUUGCAGAUGAGCAGGUUGUUGUUUUUUUUAGAUCACAUUUUAGGAUUUAGUUCCUUUAUUCUGCCUAAAUGCUGUUCCAGGUGUAUAAGACCUUCAGGUUCUUAUUCUUUUAACUACUGAUGAAAGAACUUGUGCUUUGGCCAAUAAAGAUAUACUUAGCCCAUGA